rnacentral:rRNA from 1 species
CUACGGGCGGCUGCAGUAAGGAAUAUUGCGCAAUGGAGGCAACUCUGACGCAGCCAUGCCGCGUGCAGGAAGAAGGCCUUAUGGGUCGUAAACUGCUUUUAUUUAGGAAUAAACCCCCGAACGUGUUCGGGGCUGAAGGUACUAAACGAAUAAGCACCGGCUAACUCCGUGCCAGCAGCCGCGGUAAUACGGAGGGUGCAAGCGUUAUCCGGAUUUAUUGGGUUUAAAGGGUGCGCAGGCGGGCUAUUAAGUCAGUGGUGAAAUCCCGGGGCUCAACUCCGGAACUGCCAUUGAUACUGAUAGUCUCGAGUCUGGUUGAAGUGGGCGGAAUGUAGCAUGUAGCGGUGAAAUGCAUAGAUAUGCUACAGAACACCAAUCGCGAAGGCAGCUCACUAAGCCAAAACUGACGCUCAUGCACGAAAGCGUGGGGAUCAAACAGGAUUAGAUACCCUUGUAGUC